rnacentral:tRNA from 1 species
ACAAAGGUAAUUUAAAUAAAAAUGUAGGGUUUCAAACUCUAAUAUACAGAAGUUUUGUUCUUUGUG